rnacentral:rRNA from 1 species
AGAGCGAACGCUGGCGGCAUGCUUAACACAUGCAAGUCGCACGGCCCGCAAGGGCAGUGGCGGACGGGUGAGUAACGCGUAGGAAUCUGUCUCCGGGUGGGGGAUAACGGUUGGAAACGACUGCUAAAUACCGCAUGAUACCUGAGGGUCAAAGGCGCAAGUCGCCUGGAGAGGAGCCUGCGUACGAUUAGCUUGUUGGCGGGGUAAAAGCCCACAAGGCGACGAUCGUUAGCUGGUCUGAGAGGAUGAUCAGCCACACUGGGACUGAGACACGGUCCAGACUCCUACGGGAGGCAGCAGUGGGGAAUUUGCGCAAUGGGGGAAACCCUGACGCAGCAACGCCGCGUGGAGGAUGAAGCCCCUUGGGGCGUAAACGUCCUUUCGGACCAAGACGAUAACUGACGGUACUGGUGGAAGAAGCACCGGCUAAACUCUGCGCCAGCAGCCGC